UAAGUGUGGCAUACUGAACAUUAUCCUAAAUUAGGUAGUCAGCGAUAAGCGUGUAGAGCUAUGUAUGUGUGAGUGUAAAGGAAGCGUGGAUUGGGAUUGGGAGUCAGUCUGGGCGAGGUAGCCAAACAAUAAAGAUGGAGUUCGUCUCCCGUUCAAUAAGUGCAAAUAAGUAUUGUUUUAAGUUAAUAAUGAACAUGAAGAUAUCACAUUGGCGAUCCUGCCAUGUUGAUAAAUUGUGAUUUUCGUGAAAGUCUGGAAGUUGGAAGAUGGAAAAGUUGAUUUCCUGUGUAUGGAAAAAUAAGUGAAAUAUUCGGUGGCGUUUUUUUUUUGCGCAACAGGACGGCAUCGUGCGAUGGCAGCGGGUAGCAGAUGCUGGAGUUCGUUAACUCGGAGGAAGACAGGAUGGUUGGACGAUCAACACGACGACUGGCAUCGGGGCUUUCGCGCUAUGGGACGGACACUUCACAAGGCGUUGCAAAACUUGAGAUGAGAAGCGGCAGAAAGGAUUUAGAUUAACAUUAGCUUUUAUUGAUUUGUUUGUGUACUUAUUAUAACUUUCAAUUUGGCAAGGGGAGGAUGUGGCAUCCUGAACAUUAUCCUAAAUUAGGUAGUCAGCGAUAAGCGUGUAGAGCUAUGUAUGUGUGAGUGUAAAGGAAGCGUGGAUUGGGAGUCAGUCUGGGCGAGGUAGCCAAACAAUAAAGAUGGAGUUCGUCUCCCGUUCAAUAAGUGCAAA
rnacentral:lncRNA from 1 species